CGCCUUAUACUCUUCAGUUUCAUGGCACAUUCGCUCCUCAGAUGGUAUGAGUGGGAAUUUGGUAUUAGCACUACCUUCCUUCUGAUCUCUGCUAGGAAAAAGCUCUGCUGCCCUUUGAGUUCUGACUUCAACAAAUUCUACCUUACCAGUUGAGGACUUAAACUUGAAUGCUGUUGAGCGUUCAAGGGGCGUCCCUUAUUUGGCCAUUGGUAAACAUCUCUGUGGGCCUGCAACUGAUUUGACACCGAGGUGUUGCCUGUCUAGCAAUGGAGUCAAGAUAGCAUGCAAGAUUGCAGGAGCAAUUGUAACCUUAAAGGCCUUGCAAUAGCAACAUGCUGUCAUCAUCUUUGUCAGUGGAAACAUUACACAAACAGAAAGUUCAUGUCCGAGUCCGGGAUCACCAAGGAACAAUUUCAUGCAAUGACAUGGUGGUUCACUAGCUGGGCAGUAGA